rnacentral:rRNA from 1 species
GUAGGGUGAACCUGCGGAAGGAUCAUUAACGAAGCCAAUUUAUUGGCAUUAAUUCUUUCAUUCUGUGAAUUUAUCUUUGCUUUGGGGAGUUUACUUGUAUACUUGUAGUAUAUUUGUAUCUCCCCAAAUUUUUAAACUCUUAACUUUUAUAAUUUGUCUGAGUGAUUAAAAUAAAUUAAUCAAAACUUUCAACAACGGAUCUCUUGGUUCUCGCAUCGAUGAAGAACGCAGCAAAACGCGAUAUGUAAUGUGAAUUGCAGAAUUUUGUGAAUCAUCGAAUUUUUGAACGCACAUUGCGCCCUUUGGUAUUCCGAAGGGCAUACCUGUUUGAGCGUCAUUUCUUCUUCAUUUUAAAUGGUUUUGUGGUUUUUUCGGUAGUACGAAUAUCCCGCUAAAUAAAACGGCAUGAUUGUUAUCUUGUGAAACGUCUUAGGUUUAACAACUACGUAGAACAGAUGACUAUGGUCAGGCCUAACAACAACCUCUUUAAAAUUUGACCUCAAAUCAGGCAGGAAUACCCGCUGAACUUAAGCAUAUCAAUAA